UACGUAGGGUGCAAGCGUUGUCCGGAAUCAUUGGGCGUAAAGAGCUCGUAGGCGGUCUGUUGCGUCGGCUGUGAAAACCCGGGGCUCAACCCCGGGCCUGCAGCCGAUACGGGCAGACUAGAGUUCGGCAGGGGAGACUGGAAUUCCUGGUGUAGCGGUGAAAUGCGCAGAUAUCAGGAGGAACACCGGUGGCGAAGGCGGGUCUCUGGGCCGAUACUGACGCUGAGGAGCGAAAGCGUGGGGAGCGAACAGG
rnacentral:rRNA from 1 species